UACGUAGGGUGCAGGCGUUAAUCGGAAUUACUGGGCGUAAAGCGUGCGCAGGCGGUCUGCUAAGAGAGAUGUGAAAUCCCCAGGCUCAACCUGGGAACUGCGUCCGAUACUGGCAGGCUUGAAUCCGGGAGAGGGAUGUGGAAUUCCAGGUGUAGCGGUGAAAUGCGUAGAUAUCUGGAGGAACACCGGUGGCGAAGGCGGCCAUCUGGACGACAACUGACGCUGAGAUGCGAAAGCGUGGGGAGCAAACAGG
rnacentral:rRNA from 1 species